rnacentral:lncRNA from 1 species
GACCCCGCCGCAGCGAGGCCACGGGGCUCCCCGGUUGCGGGGCGUGAACGGUGCCAACCCGGGGCGUCAGAGGGACCCACCGGGCGGAGGAGGGGGCCCAUCUAUCCUUCCGCAUUUUCCUGGGUCUCUCUCCCCGGCGGUGACGUGACGUGCUGACGGCGGGCCCGUGCCGGGGAGCUGGGCCGCUUUUUGUCAGCUCCGAGCUCGGCCCCUCCUCCCUCCCUCCGCCCGCCCCACCAGCCGGAGCCCGGCCCAGUGCUCCAGAGAAAGGCCGGCCUGCAGCACCCGCCACCGUCGCCGACCGCCGCACGACUGUCCGGUGCGUAUAACUGUGCCCAGCUAACCUUGUAAGAUGAAUUGGGGAGCAUUCCCUCUUUUUUGAAACAGGUGUUCUGGCUGAUGAGAAUUUAAAGGCCAUGGAUGAAGAUGGACUUGAAUUACAACCACAAGCACCAAACUCAUUUUUUGAUGCAACAG